CGGACGGGUGAGUAACACGUGGAUAACCUACCUAUAAGACUGGGAUGACUUCGGGAAACCGGAGCUAAUACCGGAUAAUAUAUUGAACCGCAUGGUUCAAUAGUGAAAGACGGUUUUGCUGUCACUUAUAGAUGGAUCCGCGCCGCAUUAGCUAGUUGGUAGGGUAACGGCUUACCAAGGCAACGAUGCGUAGCCGACCUGAGAGGGUGAUCGGCCACACUGGAACUGAGACACGGUCCAG
rnacentral:rRNA from 1 species